AACUUACCUAUAACGUUGCCUCGGCGGGAACAGACGGCCCCGUAAAACGGGCCGCCCCCGCCAGAGGACCCCUAACUCUGUUUUUAUAAUGUUUUUCUGAGUAAACAAGCAAAUAAAUUAAAACUUUCAACAACGGAUCUCUUGGCUCUGGCAUCGAUGAAGAACGCAGCGAAAUGCGAUAAGUAAUGUGAAUUGCAGAAUUCAGUGAAUCAUCGAAUCUUUGAACGCACAUUGCGCCCGCCAGUAUUCUGGCGGGCAUGCCUGUUCGAGCGUCAUUACAACCCUCAGGCCUCCGGGCCUGGCGUUGGGGAUCGGCGGAGCCCCUCCCCGGCCGUCCCCCAAAUACAGUGGCGGUCCCGCCGCAGCUUCCAUUGCGUAGUAGCUAACACCUCGCAACUGGAGAGCGGCGCGGCCACGCCGUAAAACACCCAACUUCUGAA
rnacentral:misc_RNA from 1 species